ACACCGGCAGCCCAAGUGGUGGCCAUUUUUAUUGGGCCUAAAGCGUUCGUAGCCGGCCUGAUAAGUCUCUGGUGAAAUCCCGCAGCUUAACUGUGGGAAUUGCUGGGGAUACUAUCAGGCUUGAGGUCGGGAGAGGUUAGCGGUACUCCCAGGGUAGGGGUGAAAUCCUAUAAUCCUGGGAGGACCACCUGUGGCGAAGGCGGCUAACUGGAACGAACCUGACGGUGAGUAACGAAAGCCAGGGGCGCGAACCGGAUUAGAUACCCGGGUAGUCCUGGCCGUAAACGAUGCGGACUUGGUGUUGGGAUGGCUUCGAGCUGCUCCAGUGCCGAAGGGAAGCUGUUAAGUCCACCGCCUGGGAAGUACGGUCGCAAGACUGAA
rnacentral:rRNA from 1 species